rnacentral:tRNA from 1 species
CAAAAAUUAACAUAAAAAAUGUGUUUCACUUACGUUGAGAUUAUAAUUAAAUUAUUUAAUUAUUUUUGA